ensembl:lncRNA
GUAAUGGGGGAUGUGUCACAAGGGUGGAAGGAGAAAUUGAACCUCUUGCCUGGGAAGGUGGGGGCCCUUGAAGAAGGGUGUGCUGGUUUCCUGUGGCCUCUGUAACCAAUGACCACAAAGCAAGUGCCUUAAAGCAACAGAACCAUAUCUUUCCCAGACCUGGAGGCCAGAAGUCUGACAGGGCUGAGCUCCUUCCGAAGGCUCUAGGGGAAGAUCCUUCCUGCUUCUGGCGGCUCCAAAGGUUCCUGGCUUGUGGCUGCCUCCCUCCAGUCUCUGCCUUCAUCAUCACCCGGCCUUCUUCCCCGUGUCUCAAAUCUCCCUCUGCCUUUCUCUUGUAAAGACAUGUGACAUUGGAUUUUGAGCCGACGUGAAUUAUCCAGAAUCAUCUCACCUUGAGAUUCUGAACCAGGUCUGCAAAGACCCUUUUUCCAAGCACAGGUGUGCGUGCUUUAUAUGAGCUGCAUCACAUAAUCCUCAUAAAACCUCUGAAAGUCACUUCAGUCGCGUCCGACUCUGUGCGACCCCAUAGACGGCAGCCCACCAGGCUCCCCCGUCCCCGGGAUUCUCCAGGCAAGAACACUGGAGCAGGCUGCCAUUUCCUUCUCCAAUGUCUAUGUCUAUGUGUGCCUAUAUCAGUGCUUCAUUCCUUUUUAUGGCUGAAUAAUAUUCCAUUGUAUGGACGGAACCCAUUCUGUUUAUUCUGUUUGUCCAUCCGUCCACCGCUGAAUGCUUGGGUUAUUUUCACAUUUUGCCUACUUCGGACAGUGCGGCCAUGAACAGUCACAUUUUUGUGUGGCCAUGUUUUUGAUUCUCUGAGGUUUAUACUUCGGAGUAGAAUUGCUGGGUCAUAUGAUCACUCUGUGAAAGUACCAUCUUCCACAGUGGCUGCACCAUUUCACGUUCCCACUGGCAAAGUAGGAGGGUCCAAUUUCGCCACAUCCUCACCAACACUUGUUAUUUUCUGUUAUUUUUUGGUUUUAUUUAAAACCUUUUUUGAUUCUUUAUUGAAUUUGUUAUAAUACUGCUUCUGUUUUAUCUUUGAGUUUUUUGGCCACAGGGCAUGUAGGAGCUUAACUCCCUGACCCAGGAUUGAACCUGCGCCCGUUUCAUUGGUUGUUUAAGUGGUGGUUUAAACGAAGUCUAAACCACUGGGCCACCAGGGAGGUCCUCCUGUGUAUUUCUUUUAAAUUA